UGGCUUAAAUGUAGAGUGCAUUUUUAGAGAUAGAAAUUCCCUUCGGGGCUUUCUGCAAGGUGCUGCAUGGUUGUCGUCAGCUCGUGCCGUGAGGUGUCGGGUUAAGUCCCAUAACGAGCGCAACCCUUAUCGUUAGUUGCCAUCUGGUAAUGCAGGGGACUCUAGCGAAACUGCCACCGUAAGGUGAGAGGAAGGUGGGGAUGACGUCAAAUCAGCACGGCCCUUAUGUCCAGGGCUACACACGUGUUACAAUGGCCGGCACAGAGGGCAGCUACCUGGUGACAGGAUGCUAAUCUCGAAAACCGGUCUCAGUUCGGAUCGAAGUCUGCAACUCGACUUCGUGAAGCUGGAUUCGCUAGUAAUCGCGCAUCAGCCAUGGCGCGGUGAAUACGUUCCCGGGCCUU
rnacentral:rRNA from 1 species